GAUGAAAUGCCCAAUUUAUCUAAUCGAAAUCAGAGCCCAAAACCUGGACGUCACACUCAAAACAAGAUCUAUUCGCACUGUACCAAAGUGGACCAACUCCAUCUAUCGAUCAACCAUUAUUCUCAAAUGGUAUCAGUAAUCCCCCGAAUCCUUAGUAAGCCCAUCACAAUGUUCCAUUGUGAUAUAAUUCCAUUCCCACUUGGGACUCUCAAGUGAUGAUAAAA
rnacentral:lncRNA from 1 species